GAGGGGAAAGGGUCCCCAGUACGAGAGGAACGGGACGCUGUGGCCUCUAGUUAACCGGUUGUCUGACAAGGCAGUCGCCGGGCAGCCACGCCGCUGAAGAUAAGAGCUGAAAGCAUCUAAGCUCGAAGCUUCUCCCGAAAAGAGGCAGCCAUUCCCGUUUUUACGGGACAAAGGCACCCAUAAAAGAUGGGUUUAAUGGAACUGGGGUGUAAGCUGGAAGAUUUCGAUCGACCAGUUCAGCCCGCAGUCCCCAACCGCCUAAGGUGUCAGACUA
rnacentral:ncRNA from 1 species